ACAAAUCUCUUAUAUGUACAGCGCGUACAUAUAUAUUUACCCCGAGCCUGGCAGUAAUAUGCCGGCUUUGGUUGGGCAGGUGCGCAAGCAUUUGCUCCGGUCUUGUGCGCUUCAGGGCCUCCGGGUCUUGAUGCAUGUGCAUGGCCACAUAGACGCUUGUAUGUUUGACAGAGUUACAGUUGUAAAACUAAAAUGA
rnacentral:misc_RNA from 1 species